rnacentral:rRNA from 1 species
UGGGCAACCUGCCCCUAGCUCUGGGAUAACUCCGGGAAACCGGGGCUAAUACUGGAUAUGACUCGAAUAGGCAUCUGUUUCGGGUGGAAAGAUUUAUUGGUGGAGGAUGGACUCGCGGCCUAUCAGCUUGUUGGUGUGGGUAAUGGCCCACCAAGGCGACGACGGGUAGCCGGCCUGAGAGGGUGACCGGCCACACUGGGACUGAGACACGGCCCAGACUCUUACGGGAGGCA